rnacentral:rRNA from 1 species
CCUACGGUGUGCAGCAGUGAGGCAUAUUGGUCAAUGGACGCGAGUCUGAACCAGCCAAGUAGCGUGAAGGAUGACUGCCCUAUGGGUUGUAAACUUCUUUUAUAUGGGAAUAAAACGUUCCACGUGUGGGAUUUUGUAUGUACCAUAUGAAUAAGGAUCGGCUAACUCCGUGCCAGCAGCCGCGGUAAUACGGAGGAUCCGAGCGUUAUCCGGAUUUAUUGGGUUUAAAGGGAGCGUAGGUGGAUUGUUAAGUCAGUUGUGAAAGUUUGCGGCUCAACCGUAAAAUUGCAGUUGAGACUGGCAGUCUUGAGUACAGUAGAGGUGGGCGGAAGUCGUGGUGUAGCGGUGAAAUGCUUAGAUAUCACGAAGAACUCCGAUUGCGAAGGCAGUUCACUGGACUGCAACUGACACUGAGGCUCGAAAGUGUGGGUAUCAAACAGGAUGAGAUACCCCUGUAGUC